rnacentral:rRNA from 1 species
GAUGAACGCUGGCGGCGUGCUUAACACAUGCAAGUCGAACGGUGAAGGCGGAGCUUGCUCUGCUGGAUCAGUGGCGAACGGGUGAGUAACACGUGAGCAAUCUGCCCCUGACUCUGGGAUAAGCGCUGGAAACGGCGUCUAAUACUGGAUACGAGCUGCGAAGGCAUCUUCAGCAGCUGGAAAGAAUUUCGGUCAGGGAUGAGCUCGCGGCCUAUCAGCUUGUUGGUGAGGUAAUGGCUCACCAAGGCGUCGACGGGUAGCCGGCCUGAGAGGGUGACCGGCCACACUGGGACUGAGACACGGCCCAGACUCCUACGGGAGGCAGCAGUGGGGAAUAUUGCACAAUGGGCGAAAGCCUGAUGCAGCAACGCCGCGUGAGGGACGACGGCCCUCGGGUUGUAAACCUCUUUUAGCAGGGAAGAAGCGAAAGUGACGGUACCUGCAGAAAAAACGCCGGCUAACUACGU